rnacentral:ncRNA from 1 species
GGUCUCUACUCCACAAAAUAGGUUCCCUAUGUUAAUAAAAAGGAGGAUUUUUCCGUCUGACUCACGGUGCGGCAGUGUGGAGACCUGUCGUAAAGCUGACCAUACAUAUUACGAUGGCGGCGAGAGCAUAAGCGAGGAUUCCUUAUGUUUAGAGUCGAGAAACUAUGGCA